CGCAGGUUCGAAUCCUGCACGACCCACCAAUAUACAAGGUGGUAACUGGUAGAGAACGUGAAGGAUAAUGUUGCUUUAGCAACGGCCCGAAGGGCGAGGCAAAGCCGAGUCAUCCUGCACGACCCACCA
rnacentral:sRNA from 3 species